UACGAAGGGGGCUAGCGUUGCUCGGAAUCACUGGGCGUAAAGCGCACGUAGGCGGCUUUUUAAGUCAGGGGUGAAAUCCCGGAGCUCAACUCCAGAACUGCCUUUGAUACUGGCGAUCUUGAGUCCGGGAGAGGUGAGUGGAAUUGCGAGUGUAGAGGUGAAAUUCGUAGAUAUUCGCAAGAACACCAGUGGCGAAGGCGGCUCACUGGCCCGGUACUGACGCUGAGGUGCGAAAGCGUGGGGAGCAAACAGG
rnacentral:rRNA from 1 species